rnacentral:rRNA from 1 species
GACGAACGCUGGCGGCGUGCCUAAUACAUGCAAGUCGAACGCAGUGGGGACGGGUGAGUAACACGUGGGUAACCUCCCAUCAGAGGGGAUAACACUUGGAAACAGGUGCUAAACCGAUACUGAUGGAUGGACCCGCGGUGCAUUAGCUAGUUGGUGAGGUAACGGGUCACCAGGGCCACGAUGCAUAGCCGACCGGAGAGGGGUAGAGGACACACGGGAAGUGAGACACGGACCAGGCGCGUGCGGGAGGCAGCAGUAGGGAAUCUGCGGCAAGGGACGAAAGUCUGACCGAGCAACGCCGCGUGAGUGAAGAAGGUUUUCGGAUCGUAAAGCUCUGUUGUUAGAGAAGCGGUAUCUAACCAGAAAGCCACGGCUAACUACGUGCCAGCAGCCGCGGUAAUUC